CAACAAACGCCUACCCAGCCUAGAAACGUUUUACGGUCCUUGCUGGUACGAGCAACUUCUUCCCCUAUUAUUUAAGUGAUCAUCAAGUUUUGUUAUAAGUCUCAUUCUCCUCUAAUUUUAUUUGCAGCCGUCACCGUAAAAUUGUGAUUGCGUCGUCGUUAACUGAUGGAUCGUUGAAACGAACUUUGGAGCGUGAGAUAUAGUGUGUGCAUUGUAGCUGCGAACUUAGUCUAUUAUUGUGCUUGGAAUGAAAGCGACUAAGGUACUCAAGGAGAAAGACAUGUUUGAAUGUGAUGCUUGAAGCGCGUACGUACGGGGAAAAUUGGGUUUUGUAAUUUGUGAAUUUUUAUGUAAUAAAUAAUUCGUCGUUGUAUUUUCUUC